CUAGAGAAAAUCGGAGCCCGCUUGCCGCCACCGGAUACCAGACGCCGGACGCCUGCGCCCUUCGCACCCGUCACCACGAGCCACGAGAUUUCGUGCAAUCGACGCAACGCGCCAGUAUAUCCCACGAGCAUUUCGUAAACGGAUGUGCUGCUGUCCCGUCGAAUGUCAUUAGCCUCUUUGUCCUCCACCGGAACUUAUCCCUUGACCGUCGAUAAGAUUUCCCGUCAACACUGUAGGAACAUUACGUCAUCAAAUCGCAUUCUAGAAUUUUUCAAUACCGACUGAACAAAGAAUUUCCAUCUUUCGAGCUAACCUCAAUUAACUUCGCGCGAUUAUCGUGUCGAUGUGGCACUCUGAACAGUUGUUAUUGUUUCGAAGAAACAGUCCGCGUAGUUGAAGUUUAAAUUAUACGAUCAUUUAUAACCUCUUCGGGUUUGGAUGUUUCUUUGGUUGAAUGUGUAAAAAAGUUAUUGAGACUGGAAAUAUAACUUUUGUAAUAUCAAGACCAAUUUGAGUACAAAUACGUGUGUUUGUCAUUUGGUAAUUGCAUCGCAAAGUAAAAUUAUACACAACAUCAAUCGUAAAGAAAAAAGGUUAAACUAACUGCAGUGCCACGAUGAUCGCCAAGUCGAGUAUCCCAGUGGAAAGAAGUGUCGCAAGGACCUUGGCAUUACCGAACCUGUACAAUUGGUACAAUUGGAAAGAAGUCACAGAAAAGUCAAAGAGACAUGAACCUGUUAACACAGUUUGCUACCAUUAAAACCUUGCCAACAAAGAAACUUGCUGAUGUCUUCGAAACUGAAAGAGAAAUUCUCAUACCUAUUAAGUUCACCGCAAGAAACUACACGUACUACCAAAAAGGAUUACAGUUAGAUGCAGGCUCUUCGUAACGAGCAAGGGUUAGUCAGGUCGAGUUUAGCGCAGAUGCAGAUAAUGGAAUCGUAAUGCUAUCGGUUGAUCGAUGAUAAUUCUACAUCGUUCAAUGGAAAGCUUGUGGUCUACGAAGUAUAAUGAGCACGCGAGAAACAGCAAGCUUUUGUGAUUAACAAGCUUGGCACAACGUUCCUCUCGAUACGCUGGUAAUUUUGCACUGAUCGCUCGAAAUCGCAUGACCCGCGGGAUAAUUCUACUAUACUGGCAACUAUUUCCAAGAAUUAUUGCAACGCAACAUUAAUCAUUACGCAUAAUUUUCUGUUUUCCUGUGAAAAUAAUAGUACUGGAAACAAAUCCCUAUUAACAAAGAGCUUCGUAUUAAUAAUGUGCUACUAUGCCAUUAUACACAUUGUACGU